rnacentral:lncRNA from 10 species
AGCCGCCCGCCACCACGCCCGCCUAAUUGUUUGUAUUUUCAGUGGAGACGGGGUUUCGCCGUGUUGGCCAACAUGGUCUUGAUCUCCUGACCUUGUGAUCAGCCCGCCUCAGCCUCCCAAAGUGCUGGGAUUACAGGUGUGGGCCACUGCGCCCAGCUCAUAAAUACGUUUAAAAUUGUACAUACUAUUUUUUUCCCAGUUGUUGAGAAACUACUUACAUUUUCUUUAAAGUUCUGACCUCAUCAUAAGAGCUACGCACACUAAUCACUCUAUUAUAUAUAUAAAGAUCUUGGAAAUUAUUCUCUUCCAUACCCACAACAAGAAAAAUCUAAAUGAACUGAAGAUCAACAAUCCUUUUUAGAUCCAUCAGAAAAAUUGAUGUUCAGCAAACAGAAACAGUUUGACCUCUUCAUUUCCAAUUUGGAUGCCCUUUAUUUUUUUUCUCUUGUCUGAUUGCUCUGGCUAAGACUUCCAGUACUAUGUUGAAUAGAAUUGAUAUAAGUG